rnacentral:rRNA from 1 species
GUUAAGCGACUAAGCGUACACGGUGGAUGCCCUGGCAGUCAGAGGCGAUGAAGGACGUGCUAAUCUGCGAUAAGCGUCGGUAAGGUGAUAUGAACCGUUAUAACCGGCGAUUUCCGAAUGGGGAAACCCAGUGUGUUUCGACACACUAUCAUUAACUGAAUCCAUAGGUUAAUGAGGCGAACCGGGGGAACUGAAACAUCUAAGUACCCCGAGGAAAAGAAAUCAACCGAGAUUCCCCCAGUAGCGGCGAGCGAACGGGGAGCAGCCCAGAGCCUGAAUCAGUGUGUGUGUUAGUGGAAGCGUCUGGAAAGGCGCGCGAUACAGGGUGACAGCCCCGUACACAAAAAUGCACAUGCUGUGAGCUCGAUGAGUAGGGCGGGACACGUGGUAUCCUGUCUGAAUAUGGGGGGACCAUCCUCCAAGGCUAAAUACUCCUGACUGACCGAUAGUGAACCAGUACCGUGAGGGAAAGGCGAAAAGAACCCCGGCGAGGGGAGUGAAAAAGAACCUGAAACCGUGUACGUACAAGCAGUGGGAGCACGCUUAGGCGUGUGACUGCGUACCUUUUGUAUAAUGGGUCAGCGACUUAUAUUCUGUAGCAAGGUUAACCGAAUAGGGGAGCCGAAGGGAAACCGAGUCUUAACUGGGCGUUAAGUUGCAGGGUAUAGACCCGAAACCCGGUGAUCUAGCCAUGGGCAGGUUGAAGGUUGGGUAACACUAACUGGAGGACCGAACCGACUAAUGUUGAAAAAUUAGCGGAUGACUUGUGGCUGGGGGUGAAAGGCCAAUCAAACCGGGAGAUAGCUGGUUCUCCCCGAAAGCUAUUUAGGUAGCGCCUCGUGAAUUCAUCUCCGGGGGUAGAGCACUGUUUCGGCAAGGGGGUCAUCCCGACUUACCAACCCGAUGCAAACUGCGAAUACCGGAGAAUGUUAUCACGGGAGACACACGGCGGGUGCUAACGUCCGUCGUGAAGAGGGAAACAACCCAGACCGCCAGCUAAGGUCCCAAAGUCAUGGUUAAGUGGGAAACGAUGUGGGAAGGCCCAGACAGCCAGGAUGUUGGCUUAGAAGCAGCCAUCAUUUAAAGAAAGCGUAAUAGCUCACUGGUCGAGUCGGCCUGCGCGGAAGAUGUAACGGGGCUAAACCAUGCACCGAAGCUGCGGCAGCGACACUAUGUGUUGUUGGGUAGGGGAGCGUUCUGUAAGCCUGUGAAGGUGUGCUGUGAGGCAUGCUGGAGGUAUCAGAAGUGCGAAUGCUGACAUAAGUAACGAUAAAGCGGGUGAAAAGCCCGCUCGCCGGAAGACCAAGGGUUCCUGUCCAACGUUAAUCGGGGCAGGGUGAGUCGACCCCUAAGGCGAGGCCGAAAGGCGUAGUCGAUGGGAAACAGGUUAAUAUUCCUGUACUUGGUGUUACUGCGAAGGGGGGACGGAGAAGGCUAUGUUGGCCGGGCGACGGUUGUCCCGGUUUAAGCGUGUAGGCUGGUUUUCCAGGCAAAUCCGGAAAAUCAAGGCUGAGGCGUGAUGACGAGGCACUACGGUGCUGAAGCAACAAAUGCCCUGCU